CUAAGAGAUUGUAUCUUAUAUUACGCUAAGAAUUUCACCCUAAUUAAGAGUAUGAUUAAUGAGAAGUUCUUAAGUUGGAGUUCUUAUCAAAAUAUAAGAACCCGUCUCUUAACUUAACUAGAAUAGCUAAGAACCAGCUUUUAAAUAUCUUAUUUAAGAGUCAGUUCUUAGCUUUUUUAGUUAAAAGUUAAAAAACGGUUUUUUAUUUUCCGAUAAGAACUCCACCCUAAGAAGUAAGAACCUUCAUUAAUCAUGCUCUUAGAACUGUAUUUGCGGGAGGAUCUUUUUCUUUUUCUAAAUAAAUGCAUUUAUAGCAAAAUAAAAUCAUAUAUUUGGAUUUAGCGGAAAAAAAAAGAACACUUGAGCUUGAUCGAAUCAAUAUAAUAACAGUAUAUUUGUUUGGGCUAUGCAAUGCUCCAAAAAUCAUUUGUCAAUCAAUCCUAUAACUAGAGAUGGCAGUUCAAGGGCUUGCCCGCGGGCCUGACCCGAAAAGGCCCAUUGCGGGGCGGGAUUGGGCAAAGAUAUUGUGGCCCGUUUAGUUGCGGGUCUGGCGGGACAGGACCGCGGCGGUACUGGGCCGAAGCGGGACGGGCCGAAGCGGGAUGCGGGCAAACAUUGAGGCCCGCUACACUUUUCUCACCGAGAACAGAGCUCCAUCAGGUUGUGGGCUCUAAGUGGCGGAGUUCUAAGUCACAAUUCUUCACCAAAGUGGUUUGUUUGGUACAGGGGAGUACCAGCUUCACAGCAGAACCUUGAAGACUGAUGAAAUUUGUGCAGAUUCAAGAUAUCAUUUUGAUCUAAUCGUGACUUGUGGUUCACGAAACCAUUUGAGGUCCUUUGUAGUCAUAAGCUAUAGUUAAGAAUUCCUUUGUUCUUGGUCCCACGAGACAUGACUGUUGGACAUUUCAUUCACAUGCUAAGCAAUAGACUACACCGAACUAUAUCCAAAGCUCUGUUUGUUUUAGUACAGAACACACUUCCUCAACAGGUACCUAAUUAUCCAGCAUCCAUGUUCAAAAAAUCUAUUAAUAAUGCAUUUACUCUUAUCUUUCUUCUCUACAGCUGCUCCCAUGGACUCUUUGAACAAUACUGCCGUCUCCAAGCCCAGCUUCAAAAGCAUAGGAGAUGAGAGCAUGCUUAAGAUCACUAAAACGAAACCACAAGUAUAAUGAACCGAUGUCCCGCGGGCCGACCCGCAAAGCCCAUGUACUAUGCGGGGCGGGAUUGGUCAGCCCUCGACAAGACCGCAUCCCGCGCGGGCCUGUCCCGCUGAGACCCAUUUGAACUGAAGACCGCGGCGGGGCGGGACGGGACGGGACAGGAAGACCCAAUUGCCAUCUCUACCUAUAACUGUUGGGCAAAAUUUAAUAUACUCUCUUAUACUUUUAAUAGAUGACGUUUUGGAAAAAUUUACUUGCAUUAAAUUAGAUGACGUUUUAAAUUUUAAUGCAAUUUUUUGUAACCUUACAUGUUAUAUAACUUUUAUUUCCUACAGUAUGUUAUUAAUGGAUUAAAAUUUGGUUAGGUUGAUAGUUAAUAAUGUUUUUAUUCUAAAAAAACUGUAAUAAGAAUUUUUUUUUUUUAAUUUGUGUGCGCAAGUAUAAAACGUUAAGUAAUAAAAAAACCGAGGGAGUAGCUUUAUUGAUUUUCUUUCUAUAAUUUAAUUUGACUAAAUUAAGUACCGUUACUUUAUUAAUCUAUAAAUAGGGUUUCACAAUUAAAUGAAGACCAUUCAUAUUAUCUUCAAUCUCUAAAACUGUAUGGAGAAAAUAUCAAUGAAACUUGCAUUCUUUAUCUUCAUAGCUAUUAGCUCCGGUAAAUAUUUAUAUUACAUAUUCCAUGUGUAAGAUCUAUUAUAAUAGUGUAUUAUUGCUAACAUAUGUUUUCUUAUGGUUUUCUAGUGAUGAGUAUCACAGAAACUGGAGCGAACCGGUUACUACAAGAUGAAGCUUCUCAAACUGUGUUGUUGCAACAUGAAGCUUCUUCGCAGGAGGCUAUCAACCCAAACAAAAUUCACUGCAAGAAAGGGUGUCAUAUUAAAUGUGUUCCCAAUCCAUUUAUUGUUGAAUGUUUUUGUCAAUGUUAAUUUCAAAUCGCUUAUUAUGAUAUCUAACGUCCAAAUAAGAUUUAUUUACGAUCAGUAAGAUGAUAUUUUAUUACUAGUUUUCCAUCUGACAUUCAUUAACUUUCAACCUUGACUGAUUAUAUACUCAUUCAACAGGUGAUCUAAUCUUAAAGCAAUAUUGAAACUCUGAAAAACUUAAUGAAGAUGAUAUAUAUUUCUCAUAUCGUUCAUCACUCAGAAUGUAAUGCAGUCGAUGAUAUACUCAUUCGA